GACGAACGCUGGCGGCGUGCUUAACACAUGCAAGUCGAGCGGUAAGGCCCUUUCGGGGGUACACGAGCGGCGAACGGGUGAGUAACACGUGGGUGACCUGCCCUCAGCUCUGGGAUAAGCCUGGGAAACCGGGUCUAAUACUGGAUAUGACUCCAUGACGCAUGUUGUGGGGUGAAAGCCUUGUGCGGCUGAGGAUGGGCCCGCGGCCUAUCAGCUUGUUGGUGGGGUGAGGCCUACCAAGGCGACGACGGGUAGCCGGCCUGAGAGGGCGACCGGCCACACUGGGACUGAGACACGG
rnacentral:rRNA from 1 species